rnacentral:rRNA from 1 species
GACGAACGCUGGCGGCGUGCUUAACACAUGCAAGUCGAACGGAAAGGCCCUGCUUUUGUGGGGUGCUCGAGUGGCGAACGGGUGAGUAACACGUGAGUAACCUGCCCUUGACCUUGGGAUAACUUCAGGAAACUGGGGCUAAUACCGGAUAGGAGCUCCUGCUGCAUGGUGGGGGUUGGAAAGUUUCGGCGGUUGGGGAUGGACUCGCGGCUUAUCAGCUUGUUGGUGGGGUAGUGGCUUACCAAGGCUUUGACGGGUAGCCGGCCUGAAAGGGUGACCGGCCACAUUGGGACUGAGAUACGGCCCAGACUCCUACGGGAGGCAGCAGUGGGGAAUAUUGCACAAUGGGCGGAAGCCUGAUGCAGCAACGCCGCGUGCGGGAUGACGGCCUUCGGGUUGUAAACCGCUUUCGCCUGUGACGAAGCGUGAGUGACGGUAAUGGGUAAAGAAGCACCGGCUAACUACGUG